GCCCAUGUGGUGUAGUGGUUUAAAUGCUGGACUAGAACUCUGGAGAGCAAAGUUCAAAUCCCUGCACAGUCA